AUUGAACGCUGGCGGCAGGCCUAACACAUGCAAGUCGAGCGGAUGAAGGGAGCUUGCUCCUGGAUUCAGCGGCGGACGGGUGAGUAAUGCCUAGGAAUCUGCCUGGUAGUGGGGGAUAACGUCCGGAAACGGGCGCUAAUACCGCAUACGUCCUGAGGGAGAAAGUGGGGGAUCUUCGGACCUCACGCUAUCAGAUGAGCCUAGGUCGGAUUAGCUAGUUGGUGGGGUAAAGGCCUACCAAGGCGACGAUCCGUAACUGGUCUGAGAGGAUGAUCAGUCACCCCGGAACCUAGACACCGUCCCUACUCCUACGGGAGGCCGCCGGUGGGAAUAUUUGACAAUGGGCCAAAGCCUUAUCCCGCCCUGCCGCGUGUGGUAAGAAGGUCCUUCGAUUGUAAAGCCCCUUAAGUUGGGAGGAAGGGCAGUAAGUUAAUACCUUGCUUUUUUGACGUUACCCACAGAAUAAGCCCCGGCUAACUUCCUU
rnacentral:rRNA from 1 species